rnacentral:rRNA from 1 species
CCUACGGGAGGCUGCAGUCGAGAAUCAUUCACAAUGGGGGAAACCCUGAUGGUGCGACGCCGCGUGGGGGAAUGCAGGUCUUCGGAUUGUAAACCCCUGUCAUGUGGGAGCAAAUUAAAAAGAUAGUACCACAAGAGGAAGAGACUGCUAACUCUGUGCCAGCAGCCUCGGUAAUACAGAGGUCUCAAGCGUUGUUCGGAAUCACUGGGCGUAAAGCGUGCGUAGGCUGUUUCGUAAGUCGUGUGUGAAAGGCCCGGGCUCAACCCGCGGACGGCACAUGAUACUGCGAGACUAGAGUAAUGGCAGGGGAGCCGGAAUUCUCGGUGUAGCAGUGAAAUGCGUAGAUAUCGAGAGGAACACUCGUGGCGAAGGCGGGUUCCUGGACAUUAACUGACGCUGAGGCACGAAGGCCAGGGGAGCGAAAGGGAUUAGAUACCCUUGUAGUC